UUUUUUUUUUUUGGUUUUUGCCUUUAUUUAGAAAUUCCCAAGAAAAACGAGAUGGAAAAAUCUGCCCAGUUUCGCCCAUUGUGAUUGGUUUCAAAAUCAAAAAACAAAAAACAAUCAACAAGGUUUACUCCUCCUUCUCC
rnacentral:ribozyme from 13 species